rnacentral:tRNA from 1 species
GGAGACGUGGCCGAGCGGCUGAAGGCGGCGGUUUGCUAAACCGUUAUACGGGCUCAAACCUGUAUCGAGGGUUCGAAUCCCUCCGUCUCCGCCA